AACGAAGUAGCAAUACUUAGUGGCAGACGGGUGAGUAACAUGUAGGUAUCUGCCCUUUGGCCUGGAAUAACACGAGGAAACUUGUGCUAAUACCGGAUAAGUCUUUACAGAGAAAGCUUUAUGCACCAUUGGAUGAGCCUGCACUUGAUUAGUUUGUUGGUAGGGUAAUGGCCUACCAAGACUGUGAUCAAUAGCUGAUUUGAGAGGAUGAUCAGCCACAUUGGGACUGAGACACGGCCCAAACUCCUACGGGAGGCAGCAGUGGGGAAUCUUGCACAAUGGAGGAAACUCUGAUGCAGCGAUGCCGCGUGAGUGAAGAAGGCCUUUGGGUUGUAAAGCUCUUUCGUCGGGGAAGAAAAUGACUGUACCCGAAUAAGAAGGUCCGGCUAACUUCGUGCCAGCAGCCGCGGUAAUACGAAGGGACCUAGCGUAGUUCGGAAUUACUGGGCUUAAAGAGUUCGUAGGUGGUUGAAAUAGUUGGUGGUGAAAUCCCAGAGCUUAACUCUGGAACUGCCAUCAAAACUUUUCAGCUAGAGUAUGAUAGAGGAAAGCAGAAUUUCUAGUGUAGAGGUGAAACUCGUAGAUAUUAGAAAGAAUACCAAUUGCGAAGGCAGCUUUCUGGAUCAUUACUGACGCUGAGGAACGAAAGCAUGGGUAGCGAAGAGGAUUA
rnacentral:rRNA from 1 species